AUACAAUAUAAGUUGAUGGCCAGUUAUGUAACUUGCCUAAAAUCCAAAUGUAUUUCAGCUAAAUCACAUCUCCUCAGGACCAAUCAGUGAAGAGACAGUUGUGUAUGUUGGCUAACUAUCGCUGGGUAACAAAGCCCUGCAAAACGGAGAAGCUUAGAAACAACAAAAGGAUUGCCACAUUUGACAACCGUUUAUCUAGAUUCAUUCCCGAGGGUGAUGAACACUCAGGCAACGUAGAUCUCUGUGUUUAAGAACAGAGCAACACUCAGGAGGCAGAGGCAGGCGGAUCUCUGUGAGUUUAAGGCCAGUCUGGUGUAUAUAGUGAGUUCCAAGACA
rnacentral:lncRNA from 1 species